rnacentral:rRNA from 1 species
AGCAGCCGCGGUAAUUCCAGCUCCAAUAGCGUAUAUUAAAGUUGUUGCAGUUAAAAAGCUCGUAGUUGAAUUUUGGGUCUGGCCGGGCGGUCCGCCCUCUGGGUGAGCACUGUUCCGACGUCGGGCCUAUCCUUCUGGUGAGUCGGCAUGUCCUUUAUUGGGUGUGUCGGGGAACCAGGACCAUUACCUUGAAAAAAUUAGAGUGUUCAAAGCAGGCGUAUGCUCGGAUACAUUAGCAUGGAAUAAUGAAAUAGGACGCGUGGUGCUAUUUUGUUGGUUUCUAGAACCGCCGUAAUGAUUAAUAGGGAUAGUUGGGGGCAUUAGUAUUCAAUUGUCAGAGGUGAAAUUCUUGGAUUUAUUGAAGACUAACUUCUGCGAAAGCAUUUGCCAAGGAUGUUUU